CAAUAGCGUAUAUUUAAGUUGUUGCAGUUAAAAAGCUCGUAGUUGGAUUUCGGGUGGGACGCAGCGGUCUCGCAUUGCGUUUGUACUGCUGCAGCCCUCCUUCUUGCCGGGGGCGGCCUCUCGGACUUCACUGUCUGGGGGUCAGAAUCGGCGAUGUUACUUUGAGUAAAUUAGAGUGUUCAAAGCAAGCUUACGCUCUGAAUAUAAUAGCAUGGGAUAACACGACAGGACUCUGGCCUAUCGUGCUGGUCUAUAGGACCAGAGUAAUGAUUAAGAGGGACAGUCGGGGGCAUUCGUAUUCCGUUGUCAGAGGUGAAAUUCUUGGAUUUACGGAAGACGAACAUCUGCGAAAGCAUUUGCCAAGGAUGUUUUCAUUAA
rnacentral:rRNA from 1 species